rnacentral:rRNA from 1 species
AACGGAGGGUGCAAGCGUUGUUCGGAAUUACUGGGCGUAAAGCGCGUGCAGGCGGUCUUUUAAGUUUCAUGUGAAAUCCCUUGGCUUAACCAAGGAACUGCGUGGAAUACUGAAAGACUUGAAUACGGGAGAAGAGGGUGGAAUUCCCAGUGUAGAGGUGAAAUUCGUAGAGAUUGGGAGGAACAUCGGCGGCGAAAGCGACUCUCUAGACCGAUAUUGACGCUCAUACGCGAGAGCGUGGGUAGCAAACAGG